UGAGGGAAAGGCGAAAAGAACCCCGGCGAGGGGAGUGAAAAAGAACCUGAAACCGUGUACGUACAAGCAGUGGGAGCACAGGUUUACCUGUGUGACUGCGUACCUUUUGUAUAAUGGGUCAGCGACUUAUAUUCUGUAGCAAGGUUAACCGAAUAGGGGAGCCGGAGGGAAACCGAGUCUUAACUGGGCGUUAAGUUGCAGGGUAUAGACCCGAAACCCGGUGAUCUAGCCAUGGGCAGGUUGAAGGUUGGGUAACACUAACUGGAGGACCGAACCGACUAAUGUUGAAAAAUUAGCGGAUGACCUGUGGCUGGGGGUGAAAGGCCAAUCAAACCGGGAGAUAGCUGGUUCUCCCCGAAAGCUAUUUAGGUAGCGCCUCGUGAAUUCAUCUCCGGGGGUAGAGCACUGUUUCGGCUAGGGGGCCAUCCCGGCUUACCAACCCGAUGCAAACUGCGAAUACCGGAGAAUGUUAUCACGGGAGACACACGGCGGGUGCUAACGUCCGUCGUGAAGAGGGAAACAACCCAGACCGCCAGCUAAGGUCCCAAAGUCAUGGUUAAGUGGGAAACGAUGUGGGAAGGCCCAGACAGCCAGGAUGUUGGCUUAGAAGCAGCCAUCAUUUAAAGAAAGCGUAAUAGCUCACUGGUCGAGUCGGCCUGCGCGGAAGAUGUAACGGGGCUAAACCAUGCACCGAAGCUGCGGCAGCGA
rnacentral:rRNA from 1 species